rnacentral:rRNA from 1 species
GACGAACGCUGGCGGCGUGCUUAACACAUGCAAGUCGAACGGAAAGGCCUCUUUCGGGGGGUACUCGAGUGGCGAACGGGUGAGUAACACGUGAGUAACCUGCCCUUGACUUUGGGAUAACUUCAGGAAGCUGGGGCUAAUACCGGAUAGGAGCUCCUGCUGCAUGGUGGGGGUUGGAAAGUUUCGGCGGUUGGGGAUGGACUCGCGGCUUAUCAGCUUGUUGGUGGGGUAGUGGCUUACCAAGGCUUUGACGGGUAGCCGGCCUGAGAGGGUGACCGGCCACAUUGGGACUGAGAUACGGCCCAGACUCCUACGGGAGGCAGCAGUGGGGAAUAUUGCACAAUGGGUGGAAGCCUGAUGCAGCAACGCCGUGUGCGCGAUGACGGCCUUCGGGUUGUAAACCGCUUUCGCUCAUGACGAAGCUUUGUGUGACGGUAGUGGGUAAAGAAGCACCGGCUAACUACGUG